rnacentral:rRNA from 1 species
UACGGAAGGCAGCAGUGGGGAAUAUUGGACAAUGGGCGCAAGCCUGAUCCAGCCAUGCCGCGUGAGUGAUGAAGGCCUUAGGGUUGUAAAGCUCUUUUGUCCGGGACGAUAAUGACGGUACCGGAAGAAUAAGCCCCGGCUAACUUCGUGCCAGCAGCCGCGGUAAUACGAAGGGGCUAGCGUUGCUCGGAAUCACUGGGCGUAAAGGGCGCGUAGGCGGCCGAUUAAGUCGGGGUGAAAGCCUGUGGCUCACCACAGAAUUGCCUUCGAUACUGGUUGGCUUGAGACCGGAAGAGGACAGCGGAACUGCGAGUGUAGAGGUGAAAUUCGUAGAUAUUCGCAAGAACACCAGUGGCGAAGGCGGCUGUCUGGUCCGGUUCUGACGCUGAGGGCGCGAAAGCGUGGGGAGCAAACAGGGAUUAGAUACCCGU